AGCAGGAAGGAUGGAGUUGAAAGCAAAGCCUGGAGGUCUCUUUUGUCAGGAAGAGAAUCCUUUCCAGGAGCCCUGGAAUCUCAUUGGCCAGAAUCAGAUCACAUGCUCACCCCUGGACCAAUCAAAGGAAAGCAAGAUGCCUGCUGUACACCCACACACUUAGCCAGCAAGCUGAGAAGAGCUGCGGCAAGAAGUAUUCCCUCUGGGACCAGUAGUCGCAGGAGCAUCCUCCCGGAAGUGAAGCGCUGGUCCAGCCCAGUUCCCCGCUCCUCUGGUCCAGCCUCACAGCUGCCUCAGGCUGAAGUCCAAGAGGAGGGGGGCUUCGAGAGAUGGUGCAGGGAAGGGCCAGGAAGAGCUGCCCCCUGGGAGAGCGAGGCCCUGUGGGGGACUUCCUGGAGGCCUGGAGGGGGCCACCAGACACAGCCAGCUGAGAGACAAGAAGAUGGGAGGGGACUCAGGGCUCACUUUUUGCUCCUGUCUUAAAGGGCUUGGACCAGCAGCUCCUGUGAUGUAAACUGUGUGACUGAGGUGUUAAAACUCAAGGAUUAGCCCAAGAAAACUGAAGGAACAAGGGAAGGGUUCUGGCCUUGAAGAAAACGUGAGGCAAUGACUGAAAUGUUAUGGUGUACCCCAGAAAUUGACACGACAUUGUAAACUGACUCUACUUCAAUUUUUUGAAAAUGGAAAAAGUAAAAAUAGAAUUAGAACGAAAGAGAACAUGAGAUGAGAGAGAAAGGCUAGACUUGAGGUUUCUCAAACUUGGCUUCAGGUUGGAAUCACUGGUGGGGGCUUUAAAAAGACUGAUGUCCCAGCCCCACCCCGAGGGACCGAUUUAAUUGGCCUGGGGUAGGUUCAGGGCAUCCAAUUUUUAAAAGCUCCCCAGUGGGGUUCUAAUAUGCAGCCAGUUGAGACCAACUGGGCUAGACCGAGGACAGAAAAGGAAAUCUGACCUCCCUGGGUCUCCCAUGGCUCAGCCACGGGAGGGGCAAGGCCCUUGGGCCUGACCUCCCCUGGGGUCAUGUGGGAGCCUGCGGUUGUACAUCUGGCGGCUGAGUGGUGCUUUGGGACCGAACACCAGCCCUAGUUAGACAGUGGACAGUGGGGUGCUGCCGGGGAAGACUCGGGUUCACUAGUCCACUGUGUGCCAGGCCAGCUACUUCCUUGCCUUCCCUUUCCUCAUAGAACCUCCAGCUCGAAAACAUUCCCUGAAUCUCAACUUUCAUUAAAAUAGCCCAGUCACUUCUAGUCGACAGACUUUCCCCCCAUGAAUUAUUCAAACUGGGGGGUUGAAUGUUGAAAAUGACAUGUUCGAGUUGUCCUCAUUAAGAAGCUUUUAGCUGUGAGUCUCCUGCCUCCACUGUGUUUACAGAGCCUGAUCCCUGCAGGGCUGGUGGGGACGGACGCAGUCAAUCAUUGACAAAGUCACUAAGGAAUGCCACGUGGAAGUAAAGUCAGUGAUAAACACGCACAGAAUAAACAGAGGUGGUGUAACAGAGGGAGCCCUCAGGGACAGCCCUGGGCACUCAGAAGCGUCCCCAGCCUUCAGCAAGCCCCCCAGCCCCCUGGGCCCCGUUUCCAUCACGCUCACGAUCACCUAUUUCACUCCAGCACCGGAGAAGGGGGAUUAAACAGAUGAUCUCUCACCCCUGAGGAACCCCACUCUAGGGGAUUGAGGCAGACACAGAAACAGCCCACGAUGAGACCAUCUGAAUAAGAGGCAGAAUGUGCCACAGAUGUUGACUUCUGGCCUUCUCCUUGACUCUUAACCACAAAACAGAAGAUUCAGAACAAGCAGAAGGUAGGACUGAGUGACGGUGCCCUUCGGAGGGGCCUCGAGUGUCUGCCAGGCCACCACAACAUCAUCACCGACGUCGCCAGUUAUGUUCAGACAGCACAGGGCUUCAUCAUGACCGCAUCUAGAGAUGGGAUUG